UGCAGUCGAACGGCAGCACGGGGGCAACCCUGGUGGCGAGUGGCGAACGGGUGAGUAAUACAUCGGAACGUGUCCUGUAGUGGGGGAUAGCCCGGCGAAAGCCGGAUUAAUACCGCAUACGAUCUACGGAAGAAAGCGGGGGAUCGCAAGACCUCGCGCUAUAGGGGCGGCCGAUGGCAGAUUAGCUAGUUGGUGGGGUAAAGGCCUACCAAGGCGACGAUCUGUAGCUGGUCUGAGAGGACGACCAGCCACACUGGGACUGAGACACGGCCCAGACUCCUACGGGAGGCAGCAGUGGGGAAUUUUGGACAAUGGGGGAAACCCUGAUCCAGCAAUGCCGCGUGUGUGAAGAAGGCCUUCGGGUUGUAAAGCACUUUUGUCCGGAAAGAAAACCUUUGCACUAAUACUGUGAGGGGAUGACGGUACCGGAAGAAUAAGCACCGGCUAACUACGUGCCAGCAGCCGCGGUAAUACGUAGGGUGCGAGCGUUAAUCGGAAUUACUGGGCGUAAAGCGUGCGCAGGCGGUUCGUUAAGACAGAUGUGAAAUCCCCGGGCUUAACCUGGGAACUGCAUUUGUGACUGGCGAGCUAGAGUAUGGCAGAGGGGGGUAGAAUUCCACGUGUAGCAGUGAAAUGCGUAGAGAUGUGGAGGAAUACCGAUGGCGAAGGCAGCCCCCUGGGCCAAUACUGACGCUCAUGCACGAAAGCGUGGGGAGCAAACAGGAUUAGAUACCCUGGUAGUCCACGCCCUAAACGAUGUCAACUAGUUGUUGGGUCUUCAUUGACUUAGUAACGUAGCUAACGCGUGAAGUUGACCGCCUGGGGAGUACGGUCGCAAGAUUAAAACUCAAAGGAAUUGACGGGGACCCGCACAAGCGGUGGAUGAAUGUGGAUUAAUUCGAUGCAACGCGAAAAACCUUACCUACCCUUGACAUGGUCGGAACCUGGCUGAAAGGCUGGGGUGCUCGAAAGAGAACCGAUACACAGGUGCUGCAUGGCUGUCGUCAGCUCGUGUCGUGAGAAGUUGGGGUUAAGUCCCGCAACGAGCGCAACCCUUGGUCCUUAGUUGCUACGCAAGAGCACUC
rnacentral:rRNA from 1 species